CCUACGGGUGGCUGCAGUGAGGAAUAUUGGUCAAUGGGCGCGAGCCUGAACCAGCCAAGUAGCGUGAAGGAUGACUGCCCUACGGGUUGUAAACUUCUUUUAUAAAGGAAUAAAGUGAGGCACGUGUGCCUUUCUGUAUGUACUGUGUGAAUAAGGAUCGGCUAAUUCCGUGCCAGCAGCCGCGGUAAUACGGAGGAUCCGAGCGUUAUCCGGAUUUAUUGGGUUUAAAGGGAGCGUAGAUGGGUUGUUAAGUCAGUUGUUAAAGUUUGCGGCUCAACCGUAAAAUUGCAAUUGAUACUGGCAGUCUUGAGUACAGAACAGGCAGGCGGAAUUCGUGGUGUAGCGGUGAAAUGCAUAGAUAUCACGAAGAACUCCGAUUGCGAAGGCAGCUUACUAAGCUGCCACUGACAUUGAUGCUCGAAGGUGUGGGUAUCAAACAGGAUUAGAUACCCCUGUAGUC
rnacentral:rRNA from 1 species